GAAAUGCGAUAAGUAAUGUGAAUUGCAGAAUUCAGUGAAUCAUCGAAUCUUUGAACGCACAUUGCGCCCGCCAGUAUUCUGGCGGGCAUGCCUGUCCGAGUGUCAUUUCAACCAUCAAGCCCCCGGGCUUGUGUUGGGGACCUGCGGCUGCCCGCAGGCCCUGAAAACCAGUGGCGGGCUCGCUGUCACACCGAGCGUAGUAGCAAUCACCUCGCUCAGGGCGUGCUGCGGGUUCCGGCCGUUAAACAGCCUUACAAAACCCAAGGUUGACCUCGGAUCAGGUAGGAAGACCCGCUGAACUUAAGC
rnacentral:misc_RNA from 1 species